UGGCUUGUAGCUCAGCGGUAGAGCAGUCGGCUGUUAACCGACUUGUCGUGGGUUCGAUUCCCACCUUGUCAG
rnacentral:tRNA from 1 species